rnacentral:rRNA from 1 species
UACGGGGGGGGUAAGCGUUGUUCGGAAUUACUGGGCGUAAAGGGCUCGUAGGCGGCCAACUAAGUCAUACGUGAAAUCCCUCAGCUUAACUGGGGAACUGCGUCUGAUACUGGAUGGCUUGAGUUUGGGAGAGGGAUGCGGAAUUCCAGGUGUAGCGGUGAAAUGCGUAGAUAUCUGGAGGAACACCGGUGGCGAAGGCGGCAUCCUGGACCAACACUGACACUGAGGAGCGAAAGCCAGGGGAGCAAACGGG